rnacentral:sRNA from 1 species
CUCAUUAUGUGUAAAUAACACACACAGAUCGGCACAUGCACCGGGGUGCUCUCAUGCGGUUAACUCAAUUUGAUAUGAAUAACCCGCAGUCAAAGAGUCGGUGUUAUGGGAUCUGUGGAGGCAUAAC